rnacentral:RNase_P_RNA from 1 species
UCUGGAGAAAAGAUGGUUACUCUUCAAUGGCGAAAGCCGUGGAGAGAGGAAAGUCCAGGCAGCAGAAAGCAGGAGAGCCGUUGUAAGACGGCACCCGAGAGGGCUGGUAAGAGCAACAGAGACGAGUCUUGUUUGAGUCUAAAGCUUAAACAGGGGUGAAACGGGCAAUCCCCUCCGCUGCAACCUACGAAAGGGUCGUUUGAGGUAGCUUUCCCGAGACCCAAAGAUUAGGGCAUAGAUGGAUUACCAUCGUGAAACAGAACCUGGCUUAUUAUUCUCCAGAGUAC